AUGCAGGCGGUUUAUUAAGCCAGAUGUGAAAGCCCCGGGCUUAACCUGGGAAUUGCAUUUGGAACUGGUAAACUAGAGUCUUGUAGAGGGGGGUAGAAUUUCAGGUGUAGCGGUGAAAUGCGUAGAGAUCUGAAGGAAUACCGGUGGCGAAGGCGGCCCCCUGGACAAAGACUGACGCUCAGAUGCGAAAGCGUGGGGAGCAAACA
rnacentral:rRNA from 1 species